rnacentral:rRNA from 1 species
UGAGGAAUCUUGCGCAAUGGGCGAAAGCCUGACGCAGCGACGCCGCGUGAGGGAUGAAGGCCUUCGGGUCGUAAACCUCUGUCAGGGGGGGAGAACCCGCAUCCGGUGAAUAGCCGGAAGCGCUGACGGUACCCCCAGAGGAAGCACCGGCUAACUCCGUGCCAGCAGCCGCGGUAAGACGGAGGGUGCAAACGUUGUUCGGAAUCACUGGGCGUAAAGGGCGCGUAGGCGGAUCUGUAAGUCGGGAGUGAAAUCUCGGGGCUCAACCCCGAGCCUGCUUCCGAAACUGCAAGUCUUGAGGACUGGAGAGGAAAGUGGAAUUCCCGGUGUAGCGGUGGAAUGCGUAGAUAUCGGGAGGAACAUCGGUGGCGAAGGCGACUUUCUGGACAGUUCCUGACGCAGAGGCGCGAAAGCUAGGGGAGCAAACAG